GUAAGGAUUCAAAAUUCCCAGAAAUCAGUCCUUUCAGGUACUCCACCUGAAACCGUAUCAAAAACCCCCAAAUCUCCAAUUCCCUCAUUCAUCUUUGGAAUCCACUUGAUUGUUUUGGAGGCUGCGAGCAGUUGCAUUUUUCUCACUUGAUUUGGCGAUUGAUCCACAGACCGAGGUUCUUGUUGUCAGAAACCCUAAUUCAUCAGCGGUUUCACAGCAGCAAAAGGUGUUUUUCUCAGCUUCGGCUGAUUUGUCUGCAAAGCGUGUCAAAUUGGUGAUUUGAUGCGUCUAACCAAGUCUAAGCAUUUAGGGUUUGUUUUUUUUUUUUGGAAUACGCACCGGAUAUCCGUUUUACGGUCCACGUGACUAAUCCUGCGCCUCUUGAAGUUAACCUCACAACUCCAAAGGGAGGGUAAAUUUAGGAGUUCAGGGGCGGAAACAAACCAAAGAGGGUUUAAACACCUGAUCUCGUGAAAGACACUCCCGCAACCCGCAAAACCACACCCUGGGGGUGUUUGUUUUUCUACUUUGUUGGAGUGAGUAUGGUGAUAUCAAUUGUUUUUCAUGAAUGGUUUAUUUAUUUUUCUGAUGUUUUGUGGUCAAGAAUGCCAUUUUAGUUUAUUUUGCAAUUCCAAAUUUUAAUAUCUACGCAGCAUGUCUGAUCAGAUUGACCUGAAUCGCUUUUAAUACCUGGUUGGACCUGUUAGUUUGUCGUGUGAGACAUAAAAAGUUAUGACUGGUGAUAUAAUGCUAUGUGUUCUGGCAUUGAAGAUGUCAUGUAUUCUUUGCUCUGCAUUUUCCAGUUUUAUUAGAUAUUUCAAUCUAAAGUUUGAAUUCGAGAGGUUCAAUGUAACACAAAUUUUAAUUCUACUUUGCUGUCUAUUUCUUCCUUUUCUCUUGUAAUUAAAAUUCAUUUAGAUCUGAAGCAUGUGCAAUUUCUUUGAUGUUGUUUGGAUUCUUGUGGUGUCUUUAAAAGUGCGAGCUUUCUUUGCCCAGAAAAAUGGUAUUGUUGGAAGAAAAUAUCUAAGAAAUUUUAGAUUAUUUUUUUCACAAAAUUGGCAAAGUUUUUAUUCCUGUGGCAUUCUUUGCAUGAUUUCUUAUGUUCUGAAACAUUGUUUAAAUCAUUUAUAUGCUGACUGUCAAUUUGUUUGCAUUUUUAUUUUUACGAGAUGUGCGUAAGCACACACAUGCACAAAUGAGAUAAGAAAGGAGAGAGACUGGGGGUGGGGGGGAUUGUUUGUUGGCAGUUUUGGUAACUCUAAAACUGUGGCUGUGCUUCCUUAUAAGGUUUUAGGAAUGAAACUUGAGACUUCUUUACUGCACAUGCAAGCAAGAAGUGAGAAAUAUAAGAAUGAGUUUAUAUUCAAAUACAAAGAAACAGUUGUUGAUGUGUCUAGUCCAUGCUGUGAGAAGGUUGCACACUAUAAGCAAGCUGACGUUGGCCCAAAGGCACCAGGAGAUCUACUCUGAACUUGGUGGAGUGAUGGACUAUGAGGAAAAUCAAAGCCAGCCGAAUCGGUAAUGGGUAAUUAGGAGGCAGCAUCAAAUUUCUCGUACAGUUAGAGUGACAUUCAGGAGGCAGCAUCCAUUUGCUCCUCCUGAAAAAUAUGAGCUCGUGCAAAUGGCACAACCAUGGGGAUUGAAAUUCCAUUUACUACUCUGAAAGUUAUGCAUUCAACAAGGAAUGCUGUGAACUUGAAAGAACUUUCUUGCCGAAAAAUGCCAUCUCCAUCAAGCCACCUCUCCGGCCGGAAUUCCUCUGCAUCAUCACCCCAUAAGAAUUUCAUCCUACCCAUGGCAUAAGGGUAGAGCCUGAGUGUGUCAGUCAAAGCUGCAUGGAGAUACUGCAUUUUGUCUAAGGCAUCUUCAGUUAUGCUGGCUGCAAGCUCAUCAAAAGUUGCAUCAUCUUUCACUCUUAUGGCUUCUCUCACUUCACGCGCAAUUUUUUCUUGUAUGAAUCGCUUGAUCUUCCAGAAGAUAUCAACAUAUCGAUAUAGGGUUAUUGUGCUUGCUUCAUCAAAAGCUUUGGAGAAUCGGGCACCUUCUUCAUUGGUUCCACACAUGGUAUCUAGUUCUGUACCUAGAACGACCUUAAAUACGGAGUCCAAAGCUGAUUUCAUAAACAGGUCCUGUUGAUCGGUAGAAUGGUUAGUGUUUUUUCGGUGGAUAUACCUUUCAAAUAUGAAUUCUUCUUAUUGUACCUGGAUCUCUAUUGAUUGAUUUGAGGAUGCAGCUUCUGAGAAUAUCUGCGCAAGUUUUGCGGCAUUGCUUCUUAGGAAUACACUGCUGAAGUCCCUCAGAAUCUUGGUGGAGAAUUCAUGGUUUGAUAUCUUCCUCUGAUGUCACCACUUCUCCCCAUCCACCGUUAAGAUUCCAUCACCCAGAAGAUCAUUCAAAAUGUUGUAGUGGUACCACCCCUAGAACAAGUUCAUGAGCUCUAUUGAACAUUUGAGGCUAAACCAUGUGAACUGACUGAACUCAUACCUUAUUUGUAGUUUGUUUAAAAAAAAAAAGUUAUAUAUAUAGUAUAGAUAAUCAGUAGUUUGAUGAAAUCAUAUAUAUCUUGAUUUUUUUUUUUUUUCAGUCAAUGUUAAUUUGGUUCGUUGACACAAAACAUUUACAUUUCUACAUUUUUAAUGUCACUUUCUUGACUUCUUGUUGAGACAUUUAAAAACAUGGGAAUCUAUUGGAGCUUUCAUA